rnacentral:sRNA from 1 species
AUUUAAGGAGGAUUGCCAAAGUACACGACAUCCUGUCGCAAAGGCAAUCCGCAUCGCAUCCAGCGAC